GCUGAUGCUGGCGGUGACGCCGAUGGUGCGAGCUGGACAUGGGGUGCUACGUCAUCGUUGUCAUCGUCAUCAUCAUCAUC
rfam:Cavia porcellus supercont2_1 genomic scaffold, whole genome shotgun sequence.